rnacentral:rRNA from 1 species
UGCAGUCGAACGAGAAAGUCACUUCGGUGGCGAGUACAGUGGCGCACGGGUGAGUAACGCGUAGAUGAUCUACCCUUUAGUCUGGGACAACUCUUGGAAACGAGAGCUAAUACCGGAUAAAACCUUCGGGUUGAAAGAUUUAUCGCUGGGGGAUGAGUCUGCGUACCAUUAGCUUGUUGGUGGGGUAACGGCCUACCAAGGCGACGAUGGUUAGCGGGUCUGAGAGGACGAUCCGCCACACUGGAACUGAGACACGGUCCAGACUCCUACGGGAGGCAGCAGUAGGGAAUAUUGCGCAAUGGGGGCAACCCUGACGCAGCAAUGCCGCGUGAGUGAAGAAGGCCUUCGGGUCGUAAAGCUCUUUUAUGGGGGAAGAUGAUGACGGUACCCCAUGAAUAAGCACCGGCUAACUACGUGCCAGCAGCCGCGGUAAUACGUAGGGUGCGAGCGUUGUUCGGAAUUACUGGGCGUAAAGGGCGUGCAGGCGGAUUGGCAAGCCGGAGGUGAAAGCCCGGGGCUCAACCCCGGAGGGUCUUUCGGAACUGCCAGUCUUGAGAGGGUCAGGGGCCAGCGGAAUUCCUGGUGUAGAGGUGAAAUUCGUAGAGAUCAGGAGGAACACCGGCGGCGAAAGCGGCUGGCUGGGGCCACUCUGACGCUGAGGCGCGAAAGCGUGGGGAGCAAACAGGAUUAGAUACCCUGGUAGUCCACGCCGUAAACGAUGGGCACUAAGCGUCCGACGGGUUCGACCCUGUUGGGUGCUGCAGUUAACGCGUUAA